rnacentral:rRNA from 1 species
ACGGGUGAGUAAUGCCUAGGAAUCUGCCUGGUAGUGGGGGAUAACGCUCGGAAACGGACGCUAAUACCGCAUACGUCCUACGGGAGAAAGCAGGGGACCUUCGGGCCUUGCGCUAUCAGAUGAGCCUAGGUCGGAUUAGCUAGUUGGUGAGGUAAUGGCUCACCAAGGCGACGAUCCGUAACUGGUCUGAGAGGAUGAUCAGUCACACUGGAACUGAGACACGGUCCAGACUCCUACGGGAGGCAGCAGUGGGGAAUAUUGGACAAUGGGCGAAAGCCUGAUCCAGCCAUGCCGCGUGUGUGAAGAAGGUCUUCGGAUUGUAAAGCACUUUAAGUUGGGAGGAAGGGCCAUUACCUAAUACGUGAUGGUUUUGACGUUACCGACAGAAUAAGCACCGGCUAACUCUGUGCCAGCAGCCGCGGUAAUACAGAGGGUGCAAGCGUUAAUCGGAAUUACUGGGCGUAAAGCGCGCGUAGGUGGUUCGUUAAGUUGGAUGUGAAAGCCCCGGGCUCAACCUGGGAACUGCAUUCAAAACUGUCGAGCUAGAGUAUGGUAGAGGGUGGUGGAAUUUCCUGUGUAGCG